rnacentral:rRNA from 1 species
UACGUAGGGGGCUAGCGUUGUCCGGAAUCAUUGGGCGUAAAGAGCGCGUAGGCGGCCAGAUAAGUCCGGUGUGAAAGUCAAAGGCUCAACCUUUGAAUGCCGCUGGAAACUGUCUGGCUAGAGUCCGGGAGGGGCGAGUGGAAUUCCUGGUGUAGCGGUGAAAUGCGCAGAUAUCAGGAGGAACACCAAUGGCGAAGGCAGCUCGCUGGAACGGUACUGACGCUGAAACGCGAAAGCCAGGGGAGCAAACGGG